CCCUGCGGGCGCUGAGGCGCGGGAAGGCGGCGGCCGCCGCGGGGAGGGCCGCUGCCGGGCCGCGCUGAGGGGCCGCAGGUGCUGUGGCGAAGGGCAAGAGGCUGUUCAGUUUUACAGGGCGGCCCUGUGCUGAGGAAGGCGUACUGUGUUCCCUCCGACCGGAAAGUUGCUGACAAUACCAGGAGACUACGGGCAUUUACUUCAAGGAGGCGCGCGCCAUUCACUACCACUCCACGCACAGAAUGAUUCCAGACGGUACCUGCACCCGAUUAACUAUUUCUUGUUUAAUGGAGUUGAUCACAAACAGUAAAUUAUCUGCAAAGAAAAAAAAAAUUGUUUGGAUUUACAGCACAUCCUCCCUGGAGCAAGAGAGAUCCACACACUGUUAUCUAUCAAUUCCAGCGCACUUCUAACACGAGCAAGACCGAAACUAACAGCUACAUGGAGUAUAUAUCAGUCAAGUGACCCAUCCGAUCUGUUUACAGCAUCGCACUGAGAAAACUUCAAACUCUUGGAGUUUCCACUGAAAGCCCUUGGAAGUUACAAUUCUCAAUUCAUCCACCUUCCUCUGGAAGAAACUACACUGAAAGUUACUACUGUAUGUCCACUGUGCCUGCCUUGGACACUGUGCAGAACUCUGCCAAUCGAGCAACAGACUUACAGUGUUUUAAUGAUUUAUUUUCAUGGCCAAAACACAACUUCUCACUACUAGCAAGUAUGGGAGUUGGGCUACCGAAGGUGUCAGAACGAAAGACAUUCACUUGUAACUAGGACACUAUUCUUACCGU